GAUGAACGCUGGCGGCGUGCCUAAUACAUGCCAGUCGAGCGAACGGACGAGAAGCUUGCUUCUCUGAUGUUAGCGGCGGACGGGUGAGUAACACGUGGAUAACCUACCUAUAAGACUGGGAUAACUUCGGGAAACCGGAGCUAAUACCGGAUAAUAUUUUGAACGGCAUGGUUCAAAAGUGAAAGACGGUCUUGCUGUCACUUAUAGAUGGAUCCGCGCUGCAUUAGCUAGUUGGUAAGGUAACGGCUUACCAAGGCAACGAUGCAUAGCCGACCUGAGAGGGUGAUCGGCCACACUGGAACUGAGACACGGUCCAGACUCCUACGGGAGGCAGCAGUAGGGAAUCUUCCACAAUGGGCGAAAGCCUGACGGAGCAACGCCGCGUGAGUGAUGAAGGUCUUCGGAUCGUAAAACUCUGUUAUUAGGGAAGAACAUAUGUGUAAGUAACUGUGCACAUCUUGACGGUACCUAAUCAGAAAGCCACGGCUAACUACGUG
rnacentral:rRNA from 1 species